rnacentral:lncRNA from 1 species
AGAAAAGAGCGCGUCCCUAGAAAAUAACUUGUCCUUACUAUCAAAUCCAAAUUUUGUUCGGACAUUUUAAAUUCAUUUGAUACAUGUUCAUUUGUCAAGUUUUACAUUUUUAGUCAUAUCCAUUUUUAUCGUCAAAUAAAGUCACCAUAAUCAUGCAUAUAUGCAUUAUAGUAAAAAAGUCAACAUAAAGUCAACAUUUUACAUGUUGAAGAAAUUGACUAAAAUUACAUUUUUU